GAUGAAGAACGCAGCGAAAUGCGAUAAGUAAUGUGAAUUGCAGAAUUCAGUGAAUCAUCGGAUCUUUGAACGCACAUUGCGCCCGCCAGUAUUCUGGCGGGCAUGCCUGUUCGAGCGUCAUUUCAACCAUCAAGCCCCAGGCUUGUGUUGGGGACCUGCGGCUGCCGCAGGCCCUGAAAACCAGUGGCGGGCUCGCUGUCACACCGGGCGUAGUAGAUUUUAUCUCGCUCUGGGCGUGCUGCGGGUUCCGGCCGUUAAAAAACCCUUUUAACCCAAGGUUGACCUCGGAUCAGGUAGGAAUACCCGCUGAACUUAAGCAUAUCAAUAAGCGGAGGA
rnacentral:misc_RNA from 1 species